rnacentral:misc_RNA from 1 species
GAUGAAGAACGCAGCGAAAUGCGAUAAGUAAUGUGAAUUGCAGAAUUCAGUGAAUCAUCGAAUCUUUGAACGCACCUUGCGCUCCUUGGUAUUCCGAGGAGCAUGCCUGUUUGAGUGUCAUUAAUAUAUCAACCUCUUCAGCUUAUGCUUGUUGAGUGUUGGAUGGUGGGGGUUUGCUGGUGUCUUAUGAAGUCAGCUCCUCUGAAAUGCAUUAGCGGAACAAUUUGUUGACCGUUCAUUGGUGUGAUAAAAAUAUCUACGCUAUUGACGUCAGUCAGUUCAGCUUCUAACAGUCCAUUGACUUGGACCAAUUUUUCAUUAAUGUGACCUCAAAUCAGGUAGGACUACCCGCUGAACUUAAGCAUAUCAAUAAGCGGAGGA